CCUCUACGGCUUGUUCCAGCUGAGCGAUCGUGUGAUUUGUUCCUCGGGCUCCACUCCAUCGCUGAACCUUUGCCAGAUGAACUGCAGUGCUUUGAUUGACGACGACAUAAGUGAUGACUUAAACUGUGUGGAGACGAUCAGACAGACAAUGCAAAGUGGUCGCGUUCAAACAAUGGCUCUAAAGAGAAUGUAAGUAUGCA